GUUCCCAUUGCCCUUUAAAACCUGCCUCGGUGCUGCUGGAGCCCCGGUGCUCCAGGAGGGAUGUCUGUCUCCUGCCUGCGUGUCCUGCUCCUCUCCUCUUCAAGUUUGGGAGGUUCCCACACCAAAAGCUGGACCAGGAGGGCGGGAGCUGGAUGCCAUUUUCUGGAGCAGAGCAGGGUGUGAGGCUGCUGCCACAGAGGCUCCCUGAGGGCUGCCAGGGGCUGGAAUUCCCUGCUCCUGCCACGCUGCCCUCACGGCUGCUGUGGCUAUCGGGACGGUGAUGGGUGUUCCAUGGGGAGCCCUGCAGCCCUGCCAUGGGGAAGAGGUUUCACAGCAACUUCUGGGAGCCAGAGAGGAGUUGGAUAAGAGGAUCCAUGUUCACCCCUGAAAGAAUUUCCUACCAAGGUCGUUGACACAGAAACCAAGAAAGAAAGGAAUAAUAACAGAAACCUGCAACUGCCUGUUCCAAUGAGCACUUUGUCUGUCUCUUGUGACCAGUGAGUAAAGUGUAAACUUAUGAGGUUUGUAAGAAUGUAUAAAAAGCAUGCAGGCUGUAAUAAAAACAGGUCUGAAGCCUUCUGAAAA